AUUAAUAAGCGGAGGAAAAGAAACCAACCGGGAUUCCCCCAGUAAGGGCGACUGAAAGGGGACCAGCCCAGCGCAUAACCUCGCGGUCUGCUACGGCCGUCGAGGGGUGUUGCGUUUUGGUGGAUCCGUACCGCUCGAGCUGCUGACCGCCUAAGUCAUUGCUUGAAUGCAGCCCCGAGGAGGGUGGUAGGCCCGUGUGGCGGCGCCUGUAAAAAGGUUUUAGGCAGCUUGGGCGGAGGGGUCUUUACCGUAGAGUCGGGUUGCUUAGUACUGCAGCCCUAAGUAGGUGGUAAACUCCAUCUAAGGCUAAAUACUACCACGAGUCCGAUAUUGGACAAGUACCGUGAGGGAAAGCUGAAAAGGACUCUGAAGAGAGAGUUCAAGAGGACGUGAAACCAUUAGAAGCUCAAACGGGUGGAACCGUGAAGGUCGAAAGAGGGGAUUCAGCUGGCAGGGGGUGGGCUCUGGCGUCGGUUCAAGUUGCAUUUCAGUGAGAGGACCCGGCCACGAAGUUUGUGGCGGCGGCCCCGGCGUCGGCUAGGCUCCGCUCCCUGCGGGCUUAUUUCUCCCUCGAGUAGAGUGGGUCGCGACCCGCUGUCCGGGCUCCCAGGGCCGUGCGGGACUGGUAGCCCGCGCCUCGGCGCGGGCGAUGACCCGGUGCGGUGCUGACCGGGCUCGGGCGGCGGUCACUGCAAGGAGGCCGCGGAGAGAAGAAUGCGGCCUCUCGCGACGUGAGAGGGAUUGGUAAUCCACCCGA
rnacentral:rRNA from 1 species